rnacentral:rRNA from 1 species
UACGUAGGGUCCGAGCGUUGUCCGGAAUUACUGGGUGUAAAGGGUGCUCAGGCAGUCUUGUAAGUUAGAAGUGAAAUCCUAGGGCUCAACUCUGGAACUGCUUUUAAUACUGCAAGGCUUGAAUAUGGAAGAGGAGGGUGGAAUUUCUGGUGUAGCAGUGAAAUGCGUAGAUAUCAGAAAGAACACCAGUGGCGAAGGCGGCCCUCUGGUCCAUUAUUGACGCUAAAGCACGAAAGCGUGGGGAGCAAACAGG